rnacentral:rRNA from 1 species
ACGGACGAGGCCCCUUCGGGGACCGAGUUAGUGGCGAACGGGUGAGUAACGCGUGAGGAACCUGCCUUUCAGUGGGGGACAACAGUUGGAAACGACUGCUAAUACCGCAUGAAGCAUUUAGGGGGCAUCCCCUGAAUGCCAAAGAUUUAUUGCUGAAAGAUGGCCUCGCGUCUGAUUAGCUAGUUGGAGGGGUAACGGCCCACCAAGGCGACGAUCAGUAGCCGGUCUGAGAGGAUGAACGGCCACAUUGGGACUGAGAUACGGCCCAGACUCCUACGGGAGGCAGCAGUGGGGAAUAUUGGGCAAUGGGGGAAACCCUGACCCAGCAACGCCGCGUGAAGGAAGAAGGCUUUCGGGUUGUAAACUUCUUUUACCAGGGACGAAGAAAGUGACGGUACCUGGAGAAAAAGCCACGGCUAACUACGUGCCAGCAGCCGCGGUAAUACGUAGGUGGCAAGCGUUGUCCGGAUUUACUGGGUGUAAAGGGCGUGUAGGCGGAGAUUCAAGUCAGGAGUGAAAACUAUGGGCUUAACCCAUAA